CUAGGACCAUAUCACCCUGAACGCGCCUGAUCUCGUCUGAUCUGGGAAGCUAAGCAGGAUGGGGCCUGGUUAGUACUUGGACGGAAGAUACUUAUUUUGACAUGAAUCUUCCCUAGGAGAAAGGUUUACCUUAGU
ensembl:rRNA 5S_rRNA 5S ribosomal RNA